AAGGGGUUUGCCCAACGAGACUUCUCUGAAGCCCCAAAGUUUACCCAGCCUCUGGCCGACUGCACAACAGUCACCGGCUAUAAUACCCAGCUCUUCUGCUGUGUCCGCGCCUCUCCCCGGCCCAAGAUCAUCUGGCUGAAGAACAAGAUGGAUAUCCAAGGCAACCCUAAGUACAGAGCCCUGACUCACCUGGGAAUCUGCUCCCUAGAGAUCCGCAAGCCGGGUCCCUUUGAUGGAGGCAUCUAUACCUGCAAGGCGGUGAACCCCCUAGGGGAGGCAUCUGUGGACUGUCGGGUGGAUGUGAAAGUUCCUAAUUGAGGACACCUAAGAAGGCGUGGUACUCUGACAAAGUGCCUCCAGGAAGCCCGCCAGUGGUGAGACUGUGUCCUCAAGGAGCUUCGGCACCAUGUCUGGUUUGGAUUCAUCUAAAUAAAUAUGUGGUUCCCCAGUG
rnacentral:sRNA from 1 species